rnacentral:rRNA from 1 species
GUGGGGAAUAUUGCACAAUGGGGGAAACCCUGAUGCAGCCAUGCCGCGUGUGUGAAGAAGGCCUUCGGGUUGUAAAGCACUUUCAGCGAGGAGGAAAGGUUGGUAGCUAAUAACUGCCAGCUGUGACGUUACUCGCAGAAGAAGCACCGGCUAACUCCGUGCCAGCAGCCGCGGUAAUACGGAGGGUGCAAGCGUUAAUCGGAAUUACUGGGCGUAAAGCGCACACAGGCGGUUGGAUAAGUUAGAUGUGAAAGCCCCGGGCUCAACCUGGGAAUUGCAUUUAAAACUGUCCAGCUAGAGUCUUGUAGAGGGGGGUAGAAUUCCAGGUGUAGCGGUGAAAUGCGUAGAGAUCUGGAGGAAUACCGGUGGCGAAGGCGGCCCCCUGGACAAAGACUGACGCUCAGGUGCGAAAGCGUGGGGAGCAAACAGGAUUAGAUACCCGAGUAGUCC